rnacentral:rRNA from 1 species
AGCCAGACUCCUACGGGAGGCAGCAGUGGGGAAUAUUGCACAAUGGGGGAAACCCUGAUGCAGCGACGCCGCGUGAGCGAAGAAGUAUCUCGGUAUGUAAAGCUCUAUCAGCAGGGAAGAAAAUGACGGUACCUGACUAAGAAGCCCCGGCUAACUACGUGCCAGCAGCCGCGGUAAUACGUAGGGGGCAAGCGUUAUCCGGAUUUACUGGGUGUAAAGGGAGCGCAGGCGGCGCGGUAAGUCUGAUGUGAAAGCCCGGGGCUCAACCCCGGGACUGCAUUGGAAACUGUCGUGCUGGAGUGUCGGAGGGGCAAGUGGAAUUCCUAGUGUAGCGGUGAAAUGCGUAGAUAUUAGGAGGAACACCAGUGGCGAAGGCGGCUUACUGGACUGUAACUGACGUUGAGGCUCGAAAGCGUGGGGAGCAAACAGGAUUAGAUACCCUAGUA